GUGCCAGCAGCCGCGGUAAUACGUAGGGUGCGAGCGUUGUCCGGAAUUACUGGGCGUAAAGAGCUCGUAGGUGGUUUGUCGCGUUGUUCGUGAAAACUCACAGCUUAACUGUGGGCGUGCGGGCGAUACGGGCAGACUAGAGUACUGCAGGGGAGACUGGAAUUCCUGGUGUAGCGGUGGAAUGCGCAGAUAUCAGGAGGAACACCGGUGGCGAAGGCGGGUCUCUGGGCAGUAACUGACGCUGAGGAGCGAAAGCGUGGGGAGCGAACAGGAUUAGAUANCCUGGUAGUCCACGCCGUAAACGGUGGGUACUAGGUGUGGGUUCCUUCCUUGGGAUCCGUGCCGUAGCUAACGCAUUAAGUACCCCGCCUGGGGAGUACGGCCGCAAGGCUAAAACUCAAAGGAAUUGACGGGGGCCCGCACAAGCGGCGGAGCAUGUGGAUUAAUUCGAUGCAACGCGAAGAACCUUACCUGGGUUUGACAUGCACGACGCCGGCAGAGAU
rnacentral:rRNA from 1 species